rnacentral:lncRNA from 1 species
UCAGGCCGAUGGUCAGAUGCCCGGUGACAAGACCAUUGGGGGUGGUGAUGAUGCUUUCAACACCUUCUUCAGUGAGACUGGUGCUGGGAAGCACGUCCCUCGUGCUGUUUUUGUUGACCUUGAACCAACUGUCAUCGAUGAGGUGAGGACUGGCACCUACCGCCAGCUCUUCCACCCUGAGCAGCUUAUCAGUGGCAAGGAGGAUGCAGCCAACAACUUCGCCCGUGGUCACUACACCAGUAAGUAACCUGAUCUGACUGUCAGUUUACAAUGCUCCUGGAUAUUUGCUUUGUAAUGAACAUCUUAUUUAAACUUGAUUGCUUGUCUUGCAGUUGGCAAGGAGAUUGUUGACCUGUGCCUUGAUCGCAUCAGGAAGCUUGCCGACAACUGCACUGGUCUCCAGGGCUUCCUCGUCUUCAACGCUGUUGGCGGAGGAACAGGCUCUGGCCUUGGUUCCCUCCUCCUGGAGCGUCUGUCUGUUGACUACGGCAAGAAGUCUAAGCUUGGUUUCACUGUGUACCCAUCCCCCCAAGUUUCGACCUCAGUGGUUGAGCCAUACAACAGUGUCCUGUCCACCCACUCCCUCCUUGAGCACACUGAUGUGGCUAUCCUGCUGGACAACGAGGCCAUCUAUGACAUCUGCCGCCGUUCCCUUGACAUUGAGCGCCCAACCUACACCAACCUCAACAGGCUUGUGUCCCAGGUACUGUCUUGGUUUACAGCCUAAGCAUUAAGUAAAUGGUCUGUAAUCUGGGCUUUUCUCUUUAACCAUCAGUUGUUCCUGUCGUUGUACAGGUCAUCUCAUCCCUGACUGCCUCCCUGAGGUUCGAUGGUGCUCUUAACGUGGAUGUGAAUGAGUUCCAGACCAACUUGGUGCCCUACCCGAGGAUCCACUUCAUGCUUUCCUCCUAUGCUCCAGUCAUCUCUGCUGAGAAGGCCUACCACGAGCAGCUGUCUGUGGCCGAGAUCACCAACAGCGCCUUCGAGCCAUCCUCCAUGAUGGCCAAGUGCGAUCCCCGCCAUGGUAAGUACAUGGCCUGCUGCCUCAUGUACCGUGGUGAUGUGGUCCCCAAGGAUGUGAAUGCUGCUGUGGCCACCAUCAAGACCAAGCGCACCAUCCAGUUUGUGGACUGGUGCCCAACUGGCUUUAAGUGCGGCAUUAACUACCAGCCUCCAAGUGUGGUGCCUGGUGGUGACCUGGCCAAGGUGCAGCGCGCUGUGUGCAUGAUCUCCAACUCCACCAGUGUUGUGGAGGUGUUCUCCCGCAUCGACCACAAGUUCGACCUCAUGUACGCCAAGCGUGCCUUCGUGCACUGGUAUGUCGGUGAGGGUAUGGAGGAGGGCGAGUUCUCUGAGGCCCGUGAGGAUCUGGCAGCGCUCGAGAAGGACUACGAGGAGGUUGGUGCUGAGUUUGAUGAGGGUGAGGAAGGUGAUGAUGGUGAUGAGUACUAGAAGUAUCCUGAUGCGGUCAUCGUCAGGCUUGUGUGCUGCUCUUGUCCCCGUUGUGGUUUGCAACACCUGAUGUUGUAAGACUUUCUGGUUAUGUCCGCCCCGCUGUGCCACUGGGUUAUUAAGAACGUCGUUAUGGAUGGUUGUCUACACUACAUUAUUGCUUCUCGAUAUUGGAAAACUGUUAUGCGCCUCGGUGGAUUGUGUUGUUGUCGUAAUGUCAUCACUCAUACGCCGCUGGGAAUUUUGAGGCCUGUCAAGCAUCAGGAUUGCGUUAUGAGUUAAAUGCUUCAGCGACGUUUAAACUUGUCUAAGGUGCCAUCUAGAUCAUGAACUUGUCAAGGGUUGCCACUUAGAUCAUGAACUUCGUAAAUAUGUUUUUGGAUCCAAAAUAUGUUUUUGAUCCUUAAGGGUGUGUUUGGUUGAAUGUAUAAGAAGGGAUGAAAGAGGAAUGUCAUAAUUUCUAUAGUGUUUGGUUGAGAGACAAGUGAGGACGAGAUAAAUACCUAAGAAGGGAUGAAAGAGGAAUGCCACAAUUUCUAUAGUGUUUGGUUCAGAGACAAGUGACAAUUUCUAUAGUGUUUGGUUGAGAGACAAGUGAGGGCGAGUAAAUACCGCAAUAAUUUUUUGGUGGCACCGAAUUUUUGUGAAGUUGUAUACAUUUUGGACACCAAUAGAAAAUAGAAUUAAAAAAAUAUAAAACUGGUGUCAUUUAAAUCAGUGUCACGUUAUUAAAAUUUAAAACUAUCAACUAAAAUUGUCUAAUGGAUUAUUUAUGUGGUUUUGUAAAGUUGUGGAGAUUAAACAACCAGUUUUGAAGAUAAGUAAGUGAAAUAGUCAAAUAUAAAACUAGGUUAAGAAUUUAGGUACACUUACGACUAGUUUAGAUGCCGCAAAAUGGGUUAAAUUUUUCUUCUUAUUCAAAAUUAAAUAAUAAGGUGAAUUUAACUACUCUAAUUUCCUCUGUUUUUUUAACUCCCAAACUAUCCCUUAUUCGUAAUAAUAGGAAGCGGUGACAGUUUGGUGGUGAGAACUCAGGUAUCAACAAAAAGAAAUGUAUUUUUGAAAUAUUUUGCUCGUAAUGCCCUGCAAGGUUUCGAUUUCCGUAGCCAGUACAUGUCCGCUCUUGACCCAGGUACUGUGUCACGAACCAACCGACCGUUGAACGGACGUGGAGCACGAACCAUUAAAACAAUCAAAAUCUCAGGGGCUCAAACGAAAAAACACCGCCCCCUUCCCUCGCUUGCGCUGGCACUCCAUCGUGGGCUCGUGGCCCAGGCUGUCGUUCUGUUCUAUAAAGCGAGACGAGUGGGAGCAGGCGUAACCCUAAUUGAGCAUCGCAGAGAUAGGCGUCUUCGUACUCGCCUACCUCCGCGGCUCAAACCUUUCCCCCUUCUCCCAAUUCCUUCCGCCGGCCGCCGCUCCACCCGUACGACGACACCAUGAGGGAGUGCAUUUCGAUCCACAUCGGCCAGGCCGGUAUCCAGGUCGGAAACGCGUGCUGGGAGCUGUACUGCCUUGAGCAUGGCAUUCAGGUAACGAUCCGUCAUUCCCUCCCCCGUUCUCCCUCUGUUGAGGUAGAUCUAUAAUCGGUAUGGGGGUUUCAUCGCUAAUAUUUGCUGGAUUUUUGGUGGGGCUGAAUCCGCCGGAGGAAAUGACGUUUCAAAUCGGUAGAUCUGUACGGAUCUGGAUGCAUGUAAUGGUGGCUACCCGGAUCCGGGUUUGCUAGGUCUGAUCCGGAGAACUGGUGUCUGAGCGAGAUUGCAAUUGUUUUUGAACUGGAAUUUUGAUACGUAGAAUUUGAAUAGGGAUCACCCGAAACCCACGUGCGUGGUAGAUCUGAGUGCCCAGAAUUCGUUUAAAUGUACUGUCAGUUUGGAUCUUUGAAUUUUCAUAGGCUAAGUUCCGUAUUGCCUGUUGAUAUGUGAGCCUUGAUGUACAAAUACAGACUAUAGUAUGUUUAGUGUUAAUUUGAUGUGAGCCUUGAUGAAUUUUCACAGGCUAAGUUCCAUGCCCACAAUGCAUCCAUUCAUACUGUUAUUAAUUCUGUAAAAAAAACGAAUACACGUCACUCUUAGGCACCUUAACCCAAUUUGCAUUUUUCUGUUUAAAUCUGUUAGAAAUGGGAUAGAGACUGGCAUGUUGUUAUGUAGUCCUAGCUGUUAUUAGCUUUAUCUAGGACUAAAUGCUGUUCACAUAUUUCAAGUGUUUGCAAUCGGAGAUUCAAUCAUGGCUCCCUAGGACAUUUGAAUCGUGUGUCAUAGUUUGAAAUAUGAGAUUCAGGCCUGUGUUACCUUAAGAUCAUGCAUCUGUCUGGUCUACUACUGUAGAUGGCAUGUAUUUUUUACAUAGACUCCUUAAGUCGCAUAUUAACACUACUACAUUUGUGUUUUGUUCAGGCUGACGGUCAGAUGCCCGGUGACAAGACCAUUGGGGGAGGUGAUGAUGCUUUCAACACCUUCUUCAGUGAGACUGGUGCUGGGAAGCACGUGCCCCGUGCUGUUUUUGUUGACCUUGAACCCACUGUCAUCGAUGAGGUGAGAACUGGCACCUACCGCCAGCUCUUCCACCCUGAGCAGCUCAUCAGUGGGAAGGAGGAUGCAGCCAACAACUUUGCCCGUGGUCACUACACCAGUAAGUAAUCUGAUCUGAGCGUCAGUUUUCACUGCUCCUUGAUAUUUGCUCUGUAAUGAACAUCUCAUUUAAACCUGAUUCCUUGUUUUGCAGUUGGCAAGGAGAUUGUUGACCUGUGCCUUGAUCGCAUCAGGAAGCUUGCCGACAACUGCACUGGUCUCCAGGGCUUCCUCGUCUUCAACGCUGUUGGUGGAGGAACGGGCUCUGGCCUUGGUUCCCUCCUCCUAGAGCGCCUGUCUGUUGACUACGGCAAGAAAUCCAAGCUUGGGUUCACUGUGUACCCUUCCCCCCAAGUUUCUACUUCGGUAGUUGAGCCAUACAACAGUGUACUGUCCACCCACUCCCUCCUCGAGCACAC